rnacentral:rRNA from 1 species
UUCAACGGCCGCGGUAUCCUAACCGUGCAAAGGUAGCGUAANCACUUGUCUUCUAAAUAAAGACCCGUAUGAAUGGCUAAAUGAGGGACUACCUGUCUCCUUUAACUAAUCAGUGAAACUGAUCUACCAGUACAAAAGCUGGUAUAACACUAUAAGACGAGNAGACCCCGUGGAGCUUUAAAUUUUAAACCAAGACUAACCAACCACACACGUUUAUUGGUCAAAAAUCUUAAGUUGGGGCGACUUCGGAACAAAACAGAACUUCCGAGCAUAAAGAUAUUAUCUUACCAAGACCAACCAAGUCAAAGCAAAACUUGAUCCAGUAUUUACUGAUCAUCGAACCAAGUUACCCCGGGGAUAACAGCGCCAUCUUCUUUAAGAGUCCCUAUCGACAAGAAGGUUUACGACCUCGAUGUUGGAUCAGGACACCCAAAUGGUGCAGCCGCUAUUAAAGG